ensembl:rRNA 5S_rRNA 5S ribosomal RNA
GCUUACGGCCAUACCACCCUGACCACGCCCGAUCUCAUCUGAUCUUGGAAGCUAAGCAGUGUCGGGCCUGGUUAGAACUUGGAUGGGAGACCGCCUAGGAAUACCAGGUGCUGUAAGCU